ACUAGCCUAACUGAAAUCACAAAUCACAAAAUGUGCUUAUUGUGAUAACGUAAGGGAAAAAAAUGAUAUACCUUACUAUAAGUGUUGUCUAAAUAACUGGUGCCAGAAGACUCGGUAACACCAGAAACGCGAACGUUAGUCGUCUUAAACAGGCGUAAAGGGUAAGUAGGCUGCUUUAAAUUCUAUUUUUAAAUAAGCUAAUAAAUAAUAUUCCGCCAGCAAAAUAAGGCCGCAAGCCUGCUUAGCGUAGGGAGUCGAAGAAUUACAAAAUUUCAGACCUUAAAAUAUAAAUUAAGGCUAACUAAAAAUGAAAAUACUACGCGCUACUUCCUACGGAGGAAAUAUUAAAAUCUCCUCUGUACAGUCUGUACAGACAGACUAUAUUAUUUUUAAAAAUAGAUAUACUUAAAGCUAGAAUCAUAAUUGAGAUAAACCAAAUAAUACUUAAGUGUAAGGGCGAUAUCUGAAAAUACUAAGUAGAAUACUAACGGUGAAAACUUUUUAUCUAGUAAUGAUUGACGCUGAGGUACGAAAGUGAGAACAGGGAAUAGGAUUAGAUACCCAGUUACCUCUCACCGUCAACGAUGAAUGGUAGUUAUUAGUUUAAUUAAAUUAGUGACGAUGUUAACGCGAUACCAUUCCGCCUUGAGAGUACGGUUGCAAAACUGAAACCAAAAAAAUUAGUCGGUCUCGGAGCAAAGAGUGAGCAUGUAUUAUUC
rnacentral:rRNA from 1 species